rnacentral:rRNA from 1 species
UGGGGAAUAUUGGACAAUGGGCGAAAGCCUGAUCCAGCCAUGCCGCGUGGAUGAUGAAGGCCUUAGGGUUGUAAAAUCCUUUCGUUGGGGACGAUAAUGACGGUACCCAAAGAAGAAGCUCCGGCUAACUUCGUGCCAGCAGCCGCGGUAAUACGAAGGGGGCUAGCGUUGUUCGGAAUUACUGGGCGUAAAGCGCACGUAGGCGGAUUGUUAAGUCAGAGGUGAAAUCCCGGAGCUCAACUUCGGAACUGCCUUUGAUACUGGCAAUCUAGAGUACGGUAGAGGGUGGUGGAAUUUCCUGUGUAGCGGUGAAAUGCGUAGAUAUAGGAAGGAACACCAGUGGCGAAGGCGACCACCUGGACUGAUACUGACACUGAGGUGCGAAAGCGUGGGGAGCAAACAGGAUUAGAUACCCGGGUAGUCCCUGAGCGGGCUGGCAAGGCGCAU